rnacentral:lncRNA from 1 species
AGAACAUCACCGUGAAAAGUGCCACGUAGUCCCUGCAAGCUAGACUCAAAACCUUAAAUUAGUGAGAAAGGACACGUGAAAACAACCAGACAAAGAUGAAUGUCGACCAAGUGAUAGUCAAAUCCAAUUCCACGAGGACCUAUAUCAAAUAUUAUGAUUGUCACAAUUUUACUCCCCCUAACUGUAUGAUUCCAAAUUUUUAUUUUUAUCUUUAUUGUUUUUUUUAAUUAACAAAAGAACUUAAGUGCAAUGCCAUCCCCAUUAGGCAACAUAAAUGACCCCUGUAACGAACUUUGGGCCGGUGACUCCCAAGUCAGACGACC